rnacentral:rRNA from 1 species
CCCUUAGAUGUUCUGGGCCGCACACGUGCUACACUGAGUGGAUCAGCGGGUCAGGUUGCGCGAAAGCGUUUCCUAAUCUUUAAAUCCGCUCGUGAUGGGGAUUGACGGUUGCAAUUUUCUGUCAUGAACGAGGAAUACCUUGUAAGCGCGGGUCAUCAUCCCGCGCUGAAUACGUCCCUGCCCUUUGUACACACCGCCCGUCGCUCCUACCGAUUGGGUGGUCCGGUGAGGCUUUGGGAUCUGAGCGGAAAGAGCGUUUCGCUGUUUCUGCUCGGAAAACUCAGUCGAACCUUAUCAUUUAGAGGAAGGAGAAGUCGUAACA